CCUACGGGUGGCAGCAGUGAGGAAUAUUGGUCAAUGGGCGCGAGCCUGAACCAGCCAAGUCGCGUGAGGGAAGACGGUCCUAUGGAUUGUAAACCUCUUUUGUCGGGGAGCAAAAGACGCCACGCGUGGCGUUCCGAGAGUACCCGACGAAAAAGCAUCGGCUAACUCCGUGCCAGCAGCCGCGGUAAUACGGGGGAUGCGAGCGUUAUCCGGAUUUAUUGGGUUUAAAGGGUGCGCAGGCGGAAGAUCAGGUCAGCGGUAAAAUUGAGAGGCUCAACCUCUUCGAGCCGUUGAAACUGGUUGUCUUGAGUGAGCGAGAAGUAUGCGGAAUGCGUGGUGUAGCGGUGAAAUGCAUAGAUAUCACGCAGAACUCCGAUGGCGAAGGCAGCAUACCGGCGCUCAACUGACGCUCAUGCACGAAAGUGUGGGUAUCGAACAGGAUUAGAUACCCGAGUAGUC
rnacentral:rRNA from 1 species